GAAGGGACAGCUCAGUGGUAGAGCACAUGCUUAACAAGCAUGAGAUCCCGGGUUCAAUUCCCAGUACCUCCU
rnacentral:tRNA from 1 species